UGCCCCCUGAUUUUUAUUAAAGGGCUGCAGUAAUUUGACUGUACAAAGGUAGCAUAAUCAUUAGUCAUUUAAUUGAUGACUUGUAUGAAAGAUUGGAUGAAAUAUAAGCUGUCUUUUUAAUAUAAUAUAGAAUUUAAUUUUUUAAUUAAAAAGUUAAAAUAAAUAAAAAAGACGAGAAGACCCUAUAGAGUUUUAUUAUUAAAUAAGUUAAUUUUAUAUAUAAAUUUAGUAAAUUUAAUUUGUUAAAUAAUUUUGUUGGGGUGAUAAAAAAAUUAAAUGAACUUUUUUUAAAAAAUUUAACAUAAAUAAGUGAAUAAUUGAUCCAUGAAUAAUGAUUAAAAGAAAAAAUUACCUUAGGGAUAACAGCGUAAUUUUUUUUUUUAGUUCAAAUAAAAAAGAAAGUUUGCGACCUCGAUGUUGGAUUAAGAUAAAAUUUAAAUGCAGAAGUUUAAAAAUUUUGA
rnacentral:rRNA from 1 species